rnacentral:rRNA from 1 species
UUGAAAGGGAAACGAUUGAAGUCAGUCGUACCAGCGGGAAAUCAACCUUUCGAGUGGGGGUUUUGGAGUUUUGAAGAGUUUCAAAACCUUUGAGAUUUCAAAAAUUUCGCUCUUUUGGUGUACUUUCUCGUGGGUAGGUUAACAUCGAUUUUGAUCAUCAUAAAAAGAUUGGAGGAAUGUAGCUUCGAUCUUGUAUUGAAGUGUUAUAGCCUUUGGUAAAUGUGAUGAUUAGGAUCGAGGAUUGCAACGAAUACCCUUUUGGGCUAUCCGCCUGAUCUCUGAUACGUGGCCUUGGCAUCGAAAGCUUGCUUAUGGUAUCAAGGUAUUACGGUCAAAAGGUUAGAACGGAUUACAUUCGUUAAGGAUGUUGACGUA